UACGGGGGGGUGCGAGCGUUGUCCGGAUUCACUGGGCGUAAAGGGCGCGUAGGCGGCCCCCGUCAGUCGGGCCUGAAAGCCCGGGGCUCACCCCUGGGUCGGGGUCCGGGACGGCGGGGCUAGGGGGCGGCCGAGGGGUGCGGAAUGCCGGGUGUAGUGGUGAAAUGCGUAGAGAUCAGGCGGAACACCCGUGGCGAAGGCGGCCAGCUGGGCCGUCCCUGACGCUGAGGCGCGAAGGCGUGGGGAGCGAACGGGG
rnacentral:rRNA from 1 species